GCCGGGGUGGCGGAACAGGCAGACGCAGGGGACUUAAAAUCCCCCGAUCAAAAGAUCGUACCGGUUCGAUUCCGGUCCUCGGCACCA
rnacentral:tRNA from 1 species